AAUGAAGUGCCUGAAUAAAGGGUUAUUUUGAUAGAGUAAAUCAUGCAAAAUUUGCCUUCAUUA
rnacentral:tRNA from 1 species